GAGCCCGCAACAAUCAUGAGACAUGAGAUUUGUUUAUGUCAAGGGAGAAGUUAAGAUAUUGUGCUUGUUUUAUGAAAAUGGAACAGGCGGAUGUUCGUGUGGGAAGUCAGCAGGUUGAUGACGACGGACAUUUUUGUUCUGUUCAACGUGGAGCUUUAAGUACUCUUUGCAAAAAAUGAAUUCCGUGACUUAACUUACCCUCGUUUUUCGGUUUCUGAUCCGAGGAAUUGACUCGGACGUGUGUUGUUCUGUUCACCUUCACAAAAAGGGAAGUCAAGUGACUGUGUUCCCAUCACCAGUCCUUCAUUUUGCGAGCAAUCACACAUCAUUAUUAUUAUUAUUCAGCCAAAAAACACCAACACAGGAGCUCUUCUUGCCGUGAUGUGGCCUUAUUUUUAUUUUUCGCAAUGCUUCUUCUCCUUGUUUUUUUUUUAUGGCAGUUGGCAAACUACCAGUUUCAAUGGACAGUGGACCCACGCAAUUGUAGUAUGAAAUGGACCACGUGGCCAACUGGUACGCGUCCGCAGCUGUUUGUGGACACGGAACACAGAUAUCGAACCCUUGACUAAGCCAACAGUGGUUUGCUGAAAGGGACCCAAACCGCAGAGUUGUAAUCACAUUACUUAACCAAUUCCUAAGUAACGUGUUACCGGCCAGCACUGGAAAAGAUGCACUGAACUGCAACGGGAGCUGAAUCAGAAAUACUAGAGUUCCAAGGCCUUCCUGGUUUGAAUAACUGCAUCACUUCGAUUACAUAGAAGAGAUGGAUUGUGCAGACUGGCCGAUGUCUCAUUUUUUAUUGGACAGCCUUGCAACGUGUUGUAUAUUAUUACUAAAGGUCCCACGCUGGCAUCGUGCAGUGAGAAUGUUGUAAUAUUGAACACAUUAUGGAGCAAAAAGAGAGAGAGAGAGAGAGAGAGAGAGAGAGAAAGAAUGCCUGUGGUGAAGCUUCAGAUAACUUUUCUUAAUUAUGCGGCCUUCUCUUCUGAUAAAACAGACAGAAAUAUGGUAGUAUAAUAACUUGAAUGAAUUCCUUCUCUUGUUUCCCUGAAAUAUAUAUAUAUAUAUAUGUAACUGUAACAUACUUAGGUUACUUCCAACUUUUUGACACUUAAAGUUUUAUGAAUGGAGGGAGAUUAUUAAAAGUUUUAUAUUUUAUCACUUUGACAUAAGCAACACACUCCAAAUGUCUUUUUUG
ensembl:lncRNA